AAUCCUUUGAUUUUGGGGAAGAUAUAAAGCAGGCGGCACUUAUAAUACAUGCUAGGGAAACGGCUAUGAAGUAACAUGACGUCCCCCCCAGGUGAGUAAUGUUCUGGAAUCAACCAAUUGGAAACUAAAAUAGUGCGUAAAUAUGUGAAUAGCCAAAUGAUGAACCGGAAUCGUAUUAGGUACAGAUUAACCAAAGAUGCGUAGCUGAAAGGCCACACUUCCACUGAAACAAGGGGAAGACUCAACAGAGGCAGCAGUAGAGAAAUUUGUGCAAUGUAUGAAAGUAUGACACAGAGAUGUCGCAUAUGACCGUCAAAUAUACGUGCCAGCAGACGCGGUUAUACGUAAGGUCAAAGUUUUUAUCGGAAAAGGCGUAAAGGGUGUGUAGGCGCAGUAAAGUUAUGAGGUUUUAGGGGGUAAAUGGCACUUUUAUGUAGCGGUAAAAUGCUUUAAUAUAUAAGGGAACACCAAAGGCAAAAGCAAUUUACUAAUUAAACCUGUCGCUGAGACACGAAAGUAGGGGGAGCAAACAGGAUUAGAUACCCUGGUAGUCCUUACUGUAAAUAAUGAUUUUUAGAUUUUAGCAAUAAAUAAGUUGUAGCAGGAUAUAGAUCCUGCGAAAUUUCGAAGAAACUCAAGAAAAUUCCGCCUGAAGAGUACGAUCGCAAGAUUAAAAUUCAAAAAAUUUGGCGGUUCACUAAACCAAUUAGAGGAGCGUGUAGUUUAAUUCGAUAAUCCGCGAUUAACCUUACCAAAACUUGAAUAUACCUAAGUAAAAUACGAGAUACAGGUAUUGCAUGGCCGUCGUCAGUUCGUGUUGUAAAAGAAAUAGAACGAACUCAACCCUUUUAUAAGAGUGUAAAAUCUUAUGAUGUUGAGGAUGACGUCAGGUCCUUAUGAUCCUAAUGUUUUGGGCAAUAUAUGCGCUACAAUCUUUUAUACAAACAGUAAAUUAAAGUAAAAGGUCGGAUUGGCCCCUGAAAUGGGCAAUGAAGUCGGAUUUAAUAGUAAUCGGAAAGUAGAGCGUUCCGGUGAAUAUGGCUCUAGUGUUCGUACAAAUCGCCCGUCACCUCUACCAAGUAAAUAAUCCUAAAGUGUAAAAUAGUUUUAAGAAAAGAGGGCUAAAUGUGUUUUAGUCUAACUCUUUAUGAUAAUUUUUAUAUCAAGGAGAUUUUAUAAGGUUGAGGAAGUCGUAACACAGUGAGGGUAUUGGAAAAUGUCCUCGGAUUAAU
rnacentral:rRNA from 1 species